AUACCAUGGUGGGGACACUUCCUCAUCAAUUCCUUGAAUCUCUCCCAAGCAUCACACACAGAUUCAUCUACGAAUUGCUUAAAAGAAAUAAUCUCGUUCUAAAACU